rnacentral:tRNA from 1 species
CGCCAGAUAGUUCAAUUGGUAGAGCACCUCACUAGAGAUUCAGGGGGCCUGUGUUCAAAUCAUGGUCUGGUCU